GAAUCUUUUGAGAGUAAAUUCUUAGAAGAAACAAGCAGGUUCUAUGCAGCAGAGGGAAGGAAGCUAGCGCAAAAAAAAGAGAUUCCUGGGUGUCUUUACCACAUCAAGAAGCUCCUAGAAGGAGAAGUAGACAGAGUUAGAACCUACCUAUGCCUUAACACACAGAAACAACUGAUCACUCUGCUAGAAAAGCAGCUUCUAGGUGAACACUUAUCAGCAGUUCUUCAGAAAGGCUUAAGCUUUCUUCUUGAUGAAAAUAGAAUUGAGGAUUUGUCUUUAGUCUACCAAGUAUUCAGUAGGAUAGAAUGUGGCUUUCAAGUUCUUCUCCAGCAUUGGAUUGAGUAUAUCAAGGUAUUUAUUUAAAGAAGAUGCUGCAUUAAGUAAUUUAGAUUAUUUAUGGCUAAUUUUUCCCCCUUUAAUAAUGUAUUGUUUUUAAUUUAGAACUUUCUAUCUUUAAGAAAUGUUUAACUUGAAAUUGAUGAAGAAUCUAUGCUCUAAGCCUUCUUGAAACUCUUACUUCUCUGUAUAUGUAAAGUCUUGCUCCCCCAAAUAAUACUUGCUUUUUGAAGGGGAAGAGUGGGGACAUUAUGUACUGGUGUAACAUUUUCUUUUAGUGCCUCACAUUUCUUUUACCACCUUAAAUUUCUACUCUUCUGUUUAAUAACAAGAAUUUGUUAUUGAAAAAGUCUGUAAGCAUAAAUUGUCUCAGAGAAACAGCGGGGAGAGAGUCCUCACCAGCCGAGUGUCCUCGUAAGUUCAAUGUUUUUCAGUGAGUAAUUAACUAAUGUUUUGUGAGUGGUAGACUAACAUGAAAUUUAUUAUUUUAACCAUUUAGAGAUAGGAAAUUGGGUGAA